rnacentral:lncRNA from 10 species
GACCCCCGUCGCUCCGGCUUCCCUCCAGGCGGCAGCGGAAGGUGGGAGCGACGACUGCAAAACGGCAGCGAUGGGCUCCCGCAACCUCCGGAGCUUGUGCGCGUACUUCAGGGACCGGCACCACGUCACCGUCACCUCCUGAGUAGUGAGUUCCCCUCUGAUGAAACCACUGGUGUGUUUACUCACCAUCCCCACCAUUUUUUUUUCCCCAACCUGAUGGAAGGAAGUACAUAAUGGAGAGCAAGUUUUUAAAGCACGGUCGUGUCGUGUGAACUUGCUCUAGCCAAAUUAGGUUUAUAGCACUUUUUUUGGCUCUCAUUACCUCCAGUCCCCACAUAAACAAGAGUGACCAGCUGGGUCAUCCGCAAGACCGUUUGAAAUUAUUGUGGCUUGGGUGGAAACUUAAAGGAGUGAAGUAUCUGCUUUCCAGAAAAAUCGUUGUCAUUCAAAGUGAAAUUAAACUUGUUUUCUUUGCAAUAAUUCGCCUUUAUUUCCUUGUAUAUCUGUAAACUCUUCACUUUUUUGUAAUUACUAGACAAUUCGGACUUAAAAAGAGCCUCAGCAUGUGUAUUUUGGAAUUGUGUAGCUUCAUAAUGUGAAAAUUAUUCUUUUCUAUUUGAGUAAAGUACAGUUAAUUUGAAGUAAAUAAAAUUUCUAUUUCCAUUGGUUGUUUCUUUUAAAAA